rnacentral:tRNA from 1 species
UAAGAGGUAGUUAAAUAAAUAAUAUUAGUUUUGGGAAUUAAAGUAGCUUUUUGGCCUUCUUAA